rnacentral:rRNA from 1 species
AUGCACCCAUUAUGGUGGCUUCAAAGUCCUGAAAUCAUCACUUGUAGUCAUGUCCUCAUCAGCAGGUCACACAAGCUGAGCAAAAUCAAAGCCUCUUUGCCUCCUGCUGUCACUAACAUUUUGCAGGAGUUCGCUGACGUCUUUCCACAAGACGUGCCACCGGGAUUACCGCCUAUUCGAGGGAUUGAGCAUCAGAUUGACUUAAUUCCCGGUGCUUCACUGCCAAACCGUGCACCAUACCAUACCAAUCCAGAGGAGACGAAGGAGAUUAUGCGUCAAGUACAAGAGCUUCUCGACAAAGGAGGCAUUAAUAAUAUUACUAUUCGUUAUCGUCAUCCUAUUCCUAGGCUAGAUGAUAUGCUUGAUGAAUUGAGUGGCUCUACAAUAUUCUCCAAAGUUGAUUUGCGUAGUGGCUACCAUCAAAUUCGUAUGAAAUUGGGAGAUGAAUGGAAAACAGCAUUUAAAACUAAGUUUGGAUUAUAUGAGUGGUUAGUCAUGCCUUUUGGGUUAACUAAUGCACCUAGUACUUUCAUGCGAUUAAUGAACGAAGUUUUACGUGCUUUCAUUGGACGAUUUGUGGUAGUUUACUUUGAUGACAUAUUGAUUUAUAGCAGAUCUUUGGAAGAACAUUUGGAACAUUUACGUGCUAUUUUUAUUGCUUUACGUGAUGCACGUUUGUUUGGUAACCUUGGGAAGUGCACCUUUUGCACCGACCGAGUAUCUUUUCUUGGCUAUGUUGUUACUCCACAGGGAAUUGAAGUUGAUAAAGCCAAGAUUGAAGCUAUUGAGAGUUGGCCGCAGCCCAAAACGGUCACACAAGUGAGGAGUUUUCUUGGCCUCGCUGGAUUCUAUAGGCGUUUUGUGAGAGAUUUCAGCACCAUUGCUGCACCUCUCAAUGAGCUUACAAAGAAAGAUGUGCCUUUUCUUUGGGGUACCGCACAGGAAGAAGCCUUCAUGGUAUUGAAAGAUAAGUUGACACAUGCUCCUUUACUCCAACUUCCUGAUUUUAAUAAGACUUUUGAGCUUGAAUGUGAUGCUAGUGGAAUUGGAUUAGGAGGUGUGUUAUUACAAGAUGGCAAACCUGUUGCAUACUUUUCUGAAAAAUUGAGUGGGCCUAGUCUGAAUUAUUCUACUUAUGAUAAAGAAUUAUAUGCACUUGUUCGGACUUUAGAAACAUGGCAACAUUAUUUAUGGCCCAAAGAAUUUGUUAUACAUUCUGAUCAUGAAUCUUUGAAACAUAUUAAAAGUCAAGCUAAACUGAAUCGUAGACAUGCUAAAUGGGUUGAAUUCAUUGAGACUUUCCCUUAUGUCAUUAAACACAAGAAGGGAAAAGAAAAUGUUAUUGCUGAUGCAUUGUCGCGUCGCUAUACUAUGCUUUCACAACUUGACUUCAAAAUAUUUGGUUUGGAGACCAUCAAAGAUCAAUAUGUGCAUGAUGCUGAUUUUAAAGAUGUAAUGCAGAAUUGUAAAGAAGGAAGAAUGUGGAACAAGUUUGUUGUUAAGGAUGGAUUUGUGUUUCGUGCUAACAAGCUAUGCAUUCCAGCUAGCUCCGUUCGUCUUUUGUUGUUGCAGGAGGCGCAUGGAGGAGGAUUAAUGGGACACUUUGGCGUGAAGAAGACGGCGGACGUACUUGCUACACAUUUCUUUUGGCCAAAGAUGAGACGGGAUAUUGAGCGGCUGUUUUGA